GCACAUAAGAGAAAUGCAGAAAAACUCCAGUUUUAGUCAAAUGCAAUGGUUCUGGCACUGCAUGGGAGAUCUUCCAGUGAUAUCAGCAAUGGAAAGACAUGGAAAAGGCAAUUUGCUCUUGAAAAGGUCUGGUGUUGUCCUAUGGGAUGUCAGAAGACUCAAGAAUCCAUGUUUGCAGUCUAUUUUCUUUUUCUUCAAUCACAAAUAUUUGUGUUACCUCAAUG
rnacentral:lncRNA from 1 species